AUUGAACGCUGGCGGCAGGCCUAACACAUGCAAGUCGAGCGAGCGGCGGACGGGUGAGUAAUGUCUGGGAAACUGCCUGAUGGAGGGGGAUAACUACUGGAAACGGUCGCUAAUACCGCAUACCAUCAGAUGUGCCCAGCUGGGAUUAGCUCGUAGGUGGGGUAACGGCUCACCUAGGCGACGAUCCCUAGCUGGUCUGACGGGAUGACCAGCCACACUGGAAUUGAGCCACGUUCCGGACUCCUACAGGAGGCAGAAGUGGGGAAUAGUUGACAAUGGGCGGAAGCCUGAUGCAGCCAUGGCGGGUGUGUGAAGAAGGCCUUCGGGUUGUAAAGCACUGUCAGCGGGGAGACGUUACCUGCAGAAAGAGGACCGGCUAACUCCGUGGCAGGAGCCGGGGUAAUAC
rnacentral:rRNA from 1 species